rnacentral:rRNA from 1 species
AACGGCGAGUGAAGCGGCAACAGCUCAAAUUUGAAAUCUGGCCUCUUUGGGGUCCGAGUUGUAAUUUGUAGAGGAUGUUUCGGGUACCGCCUCGGUUUAAAUUUCUUGGAACAGAAUGUCAAAGAGGGUGAGAAUCCCGUCUUGGACCGGCGGUAGGGCCCAUGUGAAACUCCUUCGACGAGUCGAGUUGUUUGGGA